AUGAUUUGAUUUAAUUUUUAGGAGCGAACGCGAUGGUCUUGAAGUUGUUAGAAAUCCAAAGAGGCCUAUCGGCGCUUGGAUACAUUACUAUAACGAUCAAUUAGCCAUGAUGAAAGAGAAGGAUAAAGGAGUGAAGAUAAAUGAUGAUUUGAGGAAAAAAUUGGGCAAGAAGUGGAAUGCACUUUCAAAAGUAGAAAAAGAAAAUUUCAUGGCAAAGUCCAAAGAAAGUUCAAAACAAUAUUCACUUCAAAAGGGUGUGGUU